UUUUCUUGUUUUAAUAAAAGCCGAAGCAACGAUAUUUGAUUUAUUUUUGAACAACUAGUUUUAACUAAUAAUAAGUUUUUGAAAAUGUUUGUAAAUUUCCUUUCGAGUUCCUAUCUUGUUUUAUUUCUUCUACCUAUCCCUUUUUCCUUCUUCCUACUUUCUUUGGGAUAUUCCCAGAAAUUCAAAGCAAGGGCUGUAUCUCUGUCUGGGUCAUCUCACGUAAAGCCCAUCACCAAAGCCUUUUCCUCACCGAGCAAUGAGAUGCUCGUCUCUCUCCUCAUCUCUGUACAGUCACACAGGAAAACGUGAUCCUCCUCACAUGGCCGACGCCACCUCCAGCCAUCGCACCCACAGCUCCCUCCCCUCUUUAUUUCCCCACCGAAGCCAGAGCAAACCCUAACCCGCAUCCUCUCCAUCCUCGUGCCGCCACCCCUUCUUUCCCCCUCGACCACGCAAACGAGCGAGACGAAAGUUUCAGAGAAAACAACGAACACCUCCGCCGCUGCAUCACCGUCGCCCCAUCGUCUCCGACCAUCUUUCGCCGAACCAUGGCCACCACGAGCUUCUCCUCGUCACGCUAAGGCUCCUCGACACACGCGCGCAACAAAUCGAGUUCGAAAUCGACGACAAGGAUCGCUUCUCCAUCUCCGCCGCCGGCAGAAAUCACGUGUUUCCGGCCGCCUCCGACGUCGCCCACCCCCGUCGAGGUGUUCAUCAUCUUCCUGAUACGCUGCCGACGUUCGUUUUCACCGCCGUCGCCUGGAGCCGUCGUCCACUUGCCGCUGCGGUGCUCUCUGGCGAGUACCUCGUCGUCUCUGCUUCAUCUCCGUCCUUGUCGAGCUCACCUGCCUCGCCACCGACUUCCUGGCAUUUGCUUCUUCCCGGAUAGGAUCGCGAAGUGUUGAUGUGAGAUACGACGAGUUCUCCGACAAGUUCUUCUGCAGCUUUCCACAGGCGAGCCCACCCCUUCACCUAUUUUACUUUUACAUGCUCUUUUGAUCUAUUGCUAUCCUUAUGUUGCGAUUCUGUUGUGUCACGUGUCCUAUCCACCUGUUACCUAUAUGUCCGAGAUACACCUCCUCGCCCUACCUAUUGUUUGUUGUUUGCCAGCUUUGCGAGUCGUAGGCGAGUUUAGGGUCUUGUUGAUAUCUCGAGAUGUUCGGGAUAUCUUGUUGGGAGGUUUUCACAUGCUUUAUCAGUUGUUGGAGAUACACAUGCUUUACUUAAUUGUUAACAACUAAAAUUGUAAGCAGAGGCAUCUGUGAGCCCCUUUGUGAAAGCAUCGGAACUUUGACUUGCUAAUGUCCCCUAGGACCCGAGUUCUUGUUAUCUGUUCCGAGAUUGAGCGCUCUACCCGUACGUGGGGGAAUGGGACCCCCAUCACCCACUACCUUUCCUCGAGUCUGUUUAUUGGGAGCCACAACCUUGGUUUUAUUUGCCCAUAUGCACGAUGCACGAUUUACUUCCUGUUGCCUUCGGGUGUUUAUUACUGUACUGUACUCAUAACGCGGAUAGACUUAUCUUGUGCCUGGUCAUAAGUGCCCGCCUGGACUAUGUCGCAAACCUCUGGGUCCGUAUCGGAGUAUGGCCAAACUUCGUCACGGGUAGCUUAGUUGGGUGGCUCCCAUUAAACUUUCUCUUGCAUUGGGAACGGUCUUGAUGUGAGACUCCACCUGUAGUAAGUGGGUCCGAGCAUGCGUAUGGUUACAUUUGGGCAACCCCUGCAGGGUGUACAUCUUAUCGAUAAGCCGCGUCCGCGGUUAUGGACGACUUGGAAUUGUAUAGCUUGAUCAUAGAACAACUUACACCUUAUUUCAUGUUGUUAAUAAAUUGCUAAUAAAACCCUUUCAAAAGUGUGUGUGCCUUUGCAAUACAUCUUGGCGAAGGGGGAUCGCAUCGGCUGUGUUAUGUUUGCAGAGUAUAGAACUGUUACCUUGUGCGCUCUCUUAUCUUCUCUGAGUAGACGGAUGUUGUAGCGAGUCUCUAUUGGAUAGUAGCUUUGCUGCCGCUAAACUCCACAUAUAGCCGGGUGAAGUUUAUACCGCCCACCAGCGAGCAUAGCUGGUCUUGUCUCGCAAGUACGUGCCAAUGGUACUUACCCUCGCCUUCCUUUCUUUUUGUCUCCUCCCCCUUCUGUCGGCAACCGAUGGCCCGACUUCGACAGGUACGAGAUGACGACGUUAGCAAGGUUACCCUUCUGGCUUGGCCUGGGCAGGGUCAUGGACGCCACUGGUUAUCUUCAGGACUCUUAGUCCAAUUUGUAUCUUGUCCGUACUCGGACAUAUUCGAUCUUCUGUAUGAUUUGGAUCUUUGUAUUGUAUAUUUGUAUCUUGACUCGUUGGAGUCGUUGUUGUAAUAUAUGUAUCUUGUGGGCUCUAUUGUAAUCCUGUUGUAAUGUUA